GGCCAUUAAUAUUUUAAUCGUAUACACAAAACUCGAGGUAAAAUGCGUACCAGUACUGAAGGGGCUAAGCAUUUGUGUUUAAGCUCGUUUACUUAACAGUUUUCAGAGGUUAUUACGAUUUUUAAGGUGUUUUCACGAUUAUGUUGUGAUAGUGAUACUCUGGUAAUAAUUCUGCAUCAUCAUAGUGAAGAGUAACCAUGAGAACCUCUGAACUUUUCCAAACCAAACGUAUUAAUCCUAAACGAAUGACCGGAAAAUGAGUGUUGUGUACGAGGGGAAAAUGUAGUCUGAAGUUGACAGAGGAACUGAAGUGUAGAGAGUCAGAAAAGCUGCGUCAAGUGGAGAUAAGUGUGUUAUGUACAGCGUAGAGAAGUAAUGAAGUGUGAAGCAAUGGAACAGUAGUGAAGUAUAACAAAUAAAGUAUGUUGUGUGAAGCGAAAAAGUAAUGACGCAAAAUGUAACAAUGUAGUAACAGUGAAGUCUAGAAAAGCAGAUGAAUGCGAGAAAUAAAGUUAAGGAGCGUAACCAAUAAAGUGGAACACACACACACACACACACACAGAGAGAGAGAGAGAGAGAGAGAGAGAGAGAGAGAGAGAGAAGGAUGGAGGACAAAUAAAUCGAUACAUAUUGUUAGAGAUCACAAGAAGACCGAUAUAGUAAUUUUUGUCCUGCUGGCGAGGCAUUGUCUGAUCAGCUGCACAAGAGCUGCUGACUCGUUUAGCACUGUCGCAGCCGAUGCCACCACCACCACCAUAACUACAACCAAAAAGUAUGUCACAAUUCAAAGCUUCGCUCCCAUGAAUGUCUCAACUCCAACACAAGUGAACAAGAAGGAAAGUGUGUGGUGCAUUGAAGAAGGAAUUCCAGCAACAUUCUGUGAAUUACAAGUCUCUCCCCAACAGGUGAUGGAGGGAGAGCACCUGAGUGGUCUGACAGACACAGAGGCCUCCUCAUCAUGGUCUGUCGUACGUAAACAUAAGCACUCGGUGAGAGAAGACAGCAAUCCGCCCUCGGUAAAUGAACUUCAUGGGCUCCACGGCCAGCACUGUGGCAAUGAUGUCGUCUGUGUUGUGUUUGCGGCCGGUGACUGUCAUGAGGCCGUCACGUGACCCACACACAAACACCAGCCCGCCCUGCAGCACAAGCAUCACAUUCAGACCAAGGAAUCCCAGGAGACCCGUCCGCACAAAGGAGGAACUGUCUGAGAUGGGCGUGUUGUCUGGCAGCAGCGGCUGAACACGGAAGGUGGUGUUGGUCAUCCCCUGCAGCCCCCAGUACUGAUCACCCAUUGCCGCACC